rnacentral:rRNA from 1 species
GACAUGUACGGAACCUUUAGAGAUAGAGGGUGCUCGAAAGAGAGCCGUAACACAGGUGCUGCAUGGCUGUCGUCAGCUCGUGUCGUGAGAUGUUGGGUUAAGUCCCGCAACGAGCGCAACCCUUGUCAUUAGUUGCUACAUUCAGUUGGGCACUCUAAUGAGACUGCCGGUGACAAGCCGGAGGAAGUGGGGAUGACGUCAAGUCCUCAUGGCCCUUAUAGUGGGGCUACACACGUCAUACAAUGGCUGGUACAAAGGGUUGCCAACCCGCGAGGGGGAGCCAAUCCCAUAAAGCCAGUCGUAGUCCGGAUCGUAGUCUGCAACUCGACUACGUGAAGUCGGAAUCGCUAGUAAUCGUGGAUCAGAAUGUCACGGUGAAUACGUUCCCGGGUCUU